AGAGUUUGAUCCUGGCUCAGGAUGAACGCUAGCGAUAGGCUUAACACAUGCAAGUCGAGGGGUAACGUGUUGGAAGCUUGCUUCCGAUGACGACGACCGGCGGAUGGGUGCGUAACGCGUAUGCAACUUGCCUCACAGUGGAGAAUAACCCGGAGAAAUCCGGACUAAUGUUCCAUACACUCUUAAGUACGCCUGUACAUGAGAGGAAAGAUUUAUCGCUGUGAGAUAGGCAUGCGUCCUAUUAGGUAGUUGGUGAGGUAACGGCUCACCAAGCCGACGAUAGGUAGGGGUGCUGAGAGGCAGAUCCCCCACAUUGGGACUGAGACACGGCCCAAACUCCUACGGGAGGCAGCAGUGAGGAAUAUUGGUCAAUGGAGGAAACUCUGAACCAGCCAAGUCGCGUGAAGGAAGAAUGUCCUAAGGAUUGUAAACUUCUUUAGCGAGCGAGUAAGGACUUCCACGUGAUGGGAGUUUGAAAGUAGCUCGAGAAUAAGUAUCGGCUAACUCCGUGCCAGCAGCCGCGGUAAUACGGAGGAUACGAGCGUUAUCCGGAUUUAUUGGGUUUAAAGGGUGCGCAGGUGGUCUUGCAAGUCAGUGGUGAAAAGCUGAGGCUCAACCUCAGCCUUGCCGUUGAAACUGUAAGACUUGAGAGUACAUGAUGUGGGCGGAAUGCGUAGUGUAGCGGUGAAAUGCAUAGAUAUUACGCAGAACUCCGAUUGCGAAGGCAGCUCACAAAGGUAUAUCUGACACUGAGGCACGAAAGCGUGGGGAGCGAACAGGAUUAGAUACCCUGGUAGUCCACGCCGCGGUGAAACUCAAAGGAAUUGACGGGGGCCCGCACAAGCGGAGGAACAUGUGGUUUAAUUCGAUGAUACGCGAGGAACCUUACCCGGGAUUGAAAUGUAUGUGAGCCUUUUGGGAAACCGAGAGGGUUCUCUUCGGAGACACAUAUGUAGGUGCUGCAUGGUUGUCGUCAGCUCGUGCCGUGAGGUGUCGGCUUAAGUGCCAUAACGAGCGCAACCCUUAUCGUCAGUUACUAACAGGUAAAGCUGAGGACUCUGGCGAGACUGCCGUCGUAAGGCGAGAGGAAGGUGGGGAUGACGUCAAAUCAGCACGGCCCUUACAUCCGGGGCGACACACGUGUUACAAUGGUAGGGACAGAGAGUAGCCACUCGGUGACGAGGAGCGGAUCUUGAAACCCUAUCUCAGUUCGGAUCGGAGUCUGCAACUCGACUCCGUGAAGCCGGAUUCGCUAGUAAUCGCGCAUCAGCCAUGGCGCGGUGAAUACGUUCCCGGGCCUUGUAC
rnacentral:rRNA from 1 species